GAUGAACGCCGGCGGCGUGCCUAAUACAUGCAAGUCGAGCGAACAGAUAAGGAGCUUGCUCCUUUGACGUUAGCGGCGGACGGGUGAGUAACACGUGGGUAACCUACCUAUAAGACUGGGAUAACUUCGGGAAACCGGAGCUAAUACCGGAUAAUAUUUCGAACCGCAUGGUUCGAUAGUGAAAGAUGGUUUUGCUAUCACUUAUAGAUGGACCCGCGCCGUAUUAGCUAGUUGGUAAGGUAACGGCUUACCAAGGCGACGAUACGUAGCCGACCUGAGAGGGUGAUCGGCCACACUGGAACUGAGACACGGUCCAGACUCCUACGGGAGGCAGCAGUAGGGAAUCUUCCGCAAUGGGCGAAAGCCUGACGGAGCAACGCCGCGUGAGUGAUGAAGGUCUUCGGAUCGUAAAACUCUGUUAUUAGGGAAGAACAUACGUGUAAGUAACUGUGCACGUCUUGACGGUACCUAAUCAGAAAGCCACGGCUAACUACGUG
rnacentral:rRNA from 1 species